CAAAGUGUGUAAUCGCGCCGGUGCUUUGGACACUGGUGAGGAAAGUCCACACUCGCCCAGGCUGUGAUGCCUGGAGUUUGGAUGCCUGACGAAUUCAUAAGUCAGGGCAGUCUGGUUUCGACUGGGCUGACGGCGGUGAAAGGAGCUACGUCCCGUUGGGGAUAUGCUCCGAAUAACCUGAAAGUGCCACAGUGACGAAGUCUUCCUGGAAACGGGAAGAGUGGAACGAGGUAAACCCCAUCUGCGAGAAACCCAAAUUACGGUAGGGGAACUGCCCGGAAGGAAACAGAACGGAAGGGCGGAUCGCUGGCAACAGCGAUAGAUAGAUGGUUACAGCUCGAGUGCGAGGCUGGCCGCCGACUUGUAGCACGAGAGUACAGAAUGUGGCUUAUAGCU
rnacentral:RNase_P_RNA from 1 species